rnacentral:rRNA from 1 species
GAUGAACGCUGGCGGCGUGCCUAAUACAUGCAAGUCGAGCGAACGGACGAGAAGCUUGCUUCUCUGAUGUUAGCGGCGGACGGGUGAGUAGCACGUGGAUAACCUACCUAUAAGACUGGGAUAACUUCGGGAAACCGGAGCUAAUACCGGAUAAUAUUUUGAACCGCAUGGUUCAAAAGUGAAAGACGGUCUUGCUGUCACUUAUAGAUGGAUCCGCGCUGCAUUAGCUAGUUGGUAAGGUAACGGCUUACCAAGGCAACGAUGCAUAGCCGACCUGAGAGGGUGAUCGGCCACACUGGAACUGAGACACGGUCCAGACUCCUACGUGAGGCAGCAGUAGGGAAUCUUCCGCAAUGGGCGAAAGCCUGACGGAGCAACGCCGCGUGAGUGAUGAAGGUCUUCGGAUCGUAAAACUCUGUUAUUAGGGAAGAACAUAUGUGUAAGUAACUGUGCACAUCUUGACGGUACCUAAUCAGAAAGCCACGGCUAACUACGUG